AGUGCCAGACGGCUGAGUAAUGCAUAGGAAUCUACCUACUAGCAUGGGAUAGCCACUAGAAAUGGUGGGUGAUACUGUAUAAUCCCUGCGGGGGAAAGAUUUAUCGCUAUUAGAUGAGCCUAUGUCAGAUUAGCUAGUUGGUGGGGUAAUGGCCUACCAAGGCGGUGAUCUGUAGCUGGUCUGAGAGGAUGAUCAGCCACACUGGAACUGAGACACGGUCCAGACUCCUACGGGAGGCAGCAGUGGGGAAUAUUGGACAAUGGGCGCAAGCCUGAUCCAGCUAUGCCGCGUGAGUGAGGAAGGCCUUAGGGUUGUAAAACUCUUUCAGUAGGGAAGAUAAUG
rnacentral:rRNA from 2 species